CUAUGAUAAAGAGCACAUUCAGCUAUCUCACUUAAUCCUCUCAAAAAUUAUAUUUUUGAUAUGUCUAUUUUACAGAGGCAAGAACUAAGUCUAGAGAAAAUACGUAAUACAAUCAUGAUUCCUUGACCUCCAGUAGGCUAUAAAGAAUUUCAACUACUGUAUUAUACUAUAACUAUUUUCUUUCUUUUUCUUUCUUUUUUUUUUUGGAGACCCAGUCUCACUCUGUUGCUACGCUGGAGUGUGGUGGCACCAUCUUGGCUCACUGCAACCUCUGCCUCUGGAGUUCAAGUGAUUCUCCUGCCUCAGCCUCCCAAGUAGCUGAGACUACAGUAUUGCUGUUUGGUACAUAGUGCCAUAACAUACACAAAAGUUUUUGUCACUUCCCAAUUUUAAGAACAAAACAGGAAUUCUGUUCAACAAAAUGUAAGUAACAAUGUUUAAAACUGACAAUAAAACAAAUUCAAACAAGAAUUACUUGGAAAAA
rnacentral:lncRNA from 13 species